AGAGUUUGAUCAUGGCUCAGGACGAACGCUGACGGUGUGCUUUAGGCAUGCAAGUCGAACGAGAAAGCCCUUCGGGGUGAGUAAAGUGGCGAACGGGUGAGUAACACGUGGGCAACCUGCCCCUCGCAGGGGGACAACCGGAGGAAACUCCGGCUAAUACCCCGUACGCUUGUUGGAUCGCAUGGUCCGGCAAGGAAAGGUAGCUUCGGCCAUCCGGCGAGGGAUGGGCCCGCGUUGCAUUAGCUAGUUGGUGGGGUAACGGCCUACCAAGGCGACGAUGCGUAGCUGGUCUGAGAGGAUGAUCAGCCACACUGGGACUGAGACACGGCCCAGACUCCUACGGGAGGCAGCAGCCAGGAAUCUUGGGCAAUGGGCGAAAGCCUGACCCAGCAACACCGUGUGGGUGACGAAGGCCUUAGGGUCGUAAAGCCCUGUUGAUAGGGACGAAGGGCGAAGGGUUAAUAGCCCCUAGCUUGACGGUACCUUUCGAGGAAGCCCCGGCUAACUACGUGCCAGCAGCCGCGGUAAUACGUAGGGGGCGAGCGUUGUCCGGAAUUAUUGGGCGUAAAGAGCGUGUAGGCGGUUCGGUAAGUCUGCUGUGAAAUCCUGGGGCUCAACCCUGGGCGUGCAGCGGAUACUGCCGGGCUAGAGGGUGGUAGAGGCGAGUGGAAUUCCGAGUGUAGCGGUGAAAUGCGCAGAUAUUCGGAGGAACACCAGUAGCGAAGGCGGCUCGCUGGGCCACACCUGACGCUGAGACGCGAAAGCGUGGGGAGCGAACAGGAUUAGAUACCCCAGUAGUCC
rnacentral:rRNA from 1 species